CGGACGGGUGAGGAAUACAUCGGAAUCUACUCUGUCGUGGGGGAUAACGUAGGGAAACUUACGCUAAUACCGCAUACGACCUACGGGUGAAAGCAGGGGAUCUUCGGACCUUGCGCGAUUGAAUGAGCCGAUGUCGGAUUAGCUAGUUGGCGGGGUAAAGGCCCACCAAGGCGACGAUCCGUAGCUGGUCUGAGAGGAUGAUCAGCCACACUGGAACUGAGACACGGUCCAGACUCCUACGGGAGGCAGCAGUU
rnacentral:rRNA from 1 species